CUAACCUGGAUCCUUGGGGCACUCAAGAGACUGAACUAUCAACCAAAGAGCAUAUAUGAGCUGGACCAGGACAUGUGUAGCAGAUGUGCAGCUUGAUCUUAAUUUGGUGGCAGAGCAUAUACUAAAGUCCACUAUUACACUUGAACUUAGCCAAAAGGCCGAGAAGUGAUCUAAAGUCCACUAUCGACUUGAUAGGCCAGGGUGGGAGGAUAUAUAGGAGGCCUCCACCUGCUCAGAGGAGAAGGAGUGUGGGGGAAUGGGAAAAGGAUGGGAAGGGUUGACAGGAAGUGCAGCAGUAGGUGGGAUGUAAAGUGGAGGAAAAAAAUAAAUAAGGGCCAGCGAUAGUGCUCAUUGGCUAAAAGCACCUUGUGCCAAGCCUGACAAUGGUGUCUGGUUUCCAGAAUUCAAAUGGAAGAUAAAGAAGAUAUCUGUAA
rnacentral:lncRNA from 1 species